rnacentral:rRNA from 1 species
CGCUAUCACUCCUACCGGGAGGGCAGCAGUGGGGAAGUAUUGCACAAUGGGCGCAAGCCUGAUGCAGCCAUGCCGCGUGUGUGAAGAAGGCCUUCGGGUUGUAAAGCACUUUCAGUCGUGAGGAAGGUAGUGUAGUUAAUAGCUGCAUUAUUUGACGUUAGCGACAGAAGAAGCACCGGCUAACUCCGUGCCAGCAGCCGCGGUAAUACGGAGGGUGCGAGCGUUAAUCGGAAUUACUGGGCGUAAAGCGCAUGCAGGUGGUUUGUUAAGUCAGAUGUGAAAGCCCCGGGGCUCAACCUCGGAAUAGCAUUUGAAACUGGCAGACUAGAGUACUGUAGAGGGGGUAGAAUUUCAGGUGUAGCGGUGAAAUGCGUAGAGAUCUGAAGGAAUACCGGUGGCGAAGGCGGCCCCCUGGACAGAUACUGACACUCAGAUGCGAAAGCGUGGGGAGCAAACAGGAUUAGAUACCCUGGUAG